rnacentral:rRNA from 1 species
AGUGAACGCUGGCGGUAGGCCUAACACAUGCAAGUCGAACGGCAGCACAGUAAGAGCUUGCUCUUACGGGUGGCGAGUGGCGGACGGGUGAGGAAUACAUCGGAAUCUACUUUUUCGUGGGGGAUAACGUAGGGAAACUUACGCUAAUACCGCAUACGACCUACGGGUGAAAGCAGGGGAUCUUCGGACCUUGCGCGAUUGAAUGAGCCGAUGUCGGAUUAGCUAGUUGGCGGGGUAAAGGCCCACCAAGGCGACGAUCCGUAGCUGGUCUGAGAGGAUGAUCAGCCACACUGGAACUGAGACACGGUCCAGACUCCUACGGGAGGCAGCAGUGGGGAAUAUUGGAUAAUGGGCGCAAGCCUGAUCCAGCCAUACCGCGUGGGUGAAGAAGGUCUUCGGGUUGUAAAGCCCUUUUGUUGGGAAAGAAAAGCAGCAGGUUAAUACCCCGCUGUUCUGACGGUACCCAAAGAAUAAGCACCGGCUAACUUCGUG